GGUGCUCUAGUGGUCAACGCACUGGUCUGGUAGACUGAAUUCCCGGGUUCGAUUCCCU
rnacentral:tRNA from 1 species